CCUACGGGGGGCUGCAGUGGGGAAUAUUGGACAAUGGGGGCAACCCUGAUCCAGCCAUGCCGCGUGUGUGAAGAAGGCCCUCGGGUUGUAAAGCACUUUCAGUGAGGAAGAACGCCUGGUGGUUAAUACCCAUCAGGAAAGACAUCACUCACAGAAGAAGCACCGGCUAACUCCGUGCCAGCAGCCGCGGUAAUACGGAGGGUGCGAGCGUUAAUCGGAAUUACUAGGCGUAAAGCGCGCGUAGGUGGCUUGAUAAGCCGGUUGUGAAAGCCCCGGGCUCAACCUGGGAACGGCAUCCGGAACUGUCAAGCUAGAGUGCAGGAGAGGAAGGUAGAAUUCCCGGUGUAGCGGUGAAAUGCGUAGAGAUCGGGAGGAAUACCAGUGGCGAAGGCGGCCUUCUGGACUGACACUGACACUGAGGUGCGAAAGCGUGGGUAGCAAACAGGAUUAGAUACCCUUGUAGUC
rnacentral:rRNA from 1 species